AGUCUGGAAAGCUCAAACGAAAUUAUUGACUGUAACGAUGAGUGUCGCUCUUUCUGCCAAGGUCCGUCAUUUUAAAAUAGUGAGUAAUUCGCGGUUUUUAUUUUUUCUGCGCACUUACCAAUUGUCUCCCUGAAUCCACAGUCUGCGACCAAUCAAAUCUCUCGUCUCUUAUGAACACGGCGAGGUGAUGAUAAGAGGGCUUUCAGAGAAUCAGCCAAAAGGAAUUUUUUUAUCCGUUGUCCUGUGCUGUUCAAGUCGCAGUGGCAGCGUAAAAUUAAAUCUACAUUUUAUAAAAUUAUCAUUAAGUUUUUCCCAGUGAGGAGAGUCGUUGCAAUCAAGCCCAGCCGCAUUUCUCUGUCAACUUGAGUCUCUUGAGCCGGUUACUGUGCCUAUGUUGUCGGUUAAUGCAAUAUAUAAGGGUUCCUCCCUUUAAUAAAACGGAUAAUAAAGAAAUUGUCUCUUUCAUCUGGCAACAUUCAUUUUGCGCCGUUGCUCAUAAUGACGUCAUAAAUUAAUGUAAACAACCGAAACAACAACUCAUUGAAUUCGAUUUACCUUUUAACCGCAGGCUCCACAUUUCGCCUGUUCAUCGUACACGUAAGAAUUACCAUAAAUUAUUGAAAAAAGGUGAUUCAUUUUUGCUGGAUGCGCAAAUUUUAGAUUUCUUCCCUCUUCUUUGUCUCCAUUAUCCUUCCCUCGCUCUCAUUAUGACGUAAGCAAGGUCAAGAUGGCGGCCAAAUACAAACAACCACCACCUUUCAAGCUCGUUUAAAAUUGAUUGGACGUGUUUGUGUUAGUGAGUGUGCGCGGUGAGUUUUCUAGCUAAACAACUGCUGUUCCCUUCUUUGAAUUUUUGUGAAUUCCCUCUAAAUCAACAACAUGUCUGACGACGCUGUAGUAGAAAAGAAACGUGGACGCAAGCCUGCGUCAGAAGAAAAGAAAGCAGAGAAGAGGAAGCCGGAGAAGGCUGCAUCUGGUGGCUCACCCGCCAAGCGAGGCCGUGGAAGACCGAAGGGCUCUGGAAAGAAGAGCAAGAAAGCAAAGGCACCAAAAUCCUCUGGAGCCGGAAAGGGCGCGGCAGGCCAAAGAAGGUGGAAAAGAAGGCAGCAUCUUCAGCUGAAGAAGAAGAGGAUGAGGAAAACUAAGAAUUUUCACUAACUAAAUUAUGUACAUACUUUUAAGAAAUUAUCGUCUCUCGUCUGGAUUGAAAUCAUUUUAACUGUAACUAUCCAAGUAUUACUUUCAAAAGUCUGUAUGUGAAGAUAGGUAUGUGUUAUUGGUGUGAACGUUCAUGUUUUAUUUAUCUCUCGUCUUUUUAGUCCCCUCACUCUCACUCACUCCUAUAAUUAAAAAAAUUGUUUCGUUCCUCCUGCUGGCCGACGCACCUUGUCAGUCAUGCGCAGAAACAACAUGAAUGUCUCUCAUUUUCCCGUUGCUCUACCAUAUCCUGAUGGUAAUCUUAAGAUUUCAAUCAUCUUCAUUUUUUUCACAUUUUUAUUUUUAAGGAUAGGUUUGCUUUAUGAAAAUUUCCUAAUGCUUCAAGUUCAUAAUUAACUUUUAUUUAGUUGAUCUUUUCCGCAUAAACAAAAUGUUUCUUAGGAGAAUUUUAGAUUACUCCCAUCAUGGUGUUAUUCCUGUAUGUCUGUAAGCUAGAUCUUCUGUGUAGUUAACUCUAAACACUUUCAACUUUCCUCUCAUCGGUCUGAAAAAUUCGAUAACUGAAAUGGACACUACUUAAACAAGCUGCAUCAUUUUGGUUGCACGUGUGUGUAAACCGAGAAAUAUUUAAAAUUUGCGUGAUGAAAUCUGCCCAGUGCAAACUGAUGGAUUUUCUUGGGCAUUUUUCUCUUAAAUUUGCUUGUUUGAGGUGUGUCAGUUUCUAUAGGAGUUAGCUUUUGAUAUUCAAAGUUCAUUGUAAGUAAUGAAAAUUCCACUGCCACUUAAAGAAUUUAACUUUCGUAGGAUUCCUUUUGUGGGAUGGGAAAUUUAAAUUUAUCACAUUUCGAUGUACGGUUAUCCUAUGUCUUAAGCCAAGAAGAAGGUAGUUGGCUUUGCAUAACAUUCUAUCCAUAAAAUUUAAUAGAUUCUGCUUGCAAUGUCUGUCAGUAAUCAGGCACCAACUGAACGUACCCCAAUCCAAAGGAACUAUCUCCAUUAUGACAUGGGUCCAAAAGCCUAGGUCUCAAUGAAGAUAAUUUCCUUUUUGAUCUGGAUGCUUCCAAUGAAUGACGGCUCAUCCGUUGCAGAUACUGCCGCUGAGAGCUUGUCAGAGACUCUUUGUGUUCUACUGAUAGAAUGGCUUUGCAGGCCAUUAACCCUCUCUUGGCCCUUCCCUCUUAACAUGGCUUAACUUCUGUUCACAUAUUUUGACCACUUUUUAACUGAUUUUUAAAUAGGAAGCUAAGUAAUAAUAUGGAUCUCUGUUUUGACUAUUUAUUAACUUCCAUUUUGAUUUUUUCUUCGUCUAAUGCAAAUUUAAAUUCACCGAGAGUUCAGUCUACCUGAAAUCUUGUACCUGAGUUAUUUGUAGACGCUGUUUUUUACUAUUUGCUCACUCCUUUCCUCAAAUCUUGUAGGCAGAGAUUUUCAUUUCGCACAAAGUACAACUAAUGAAAUGUCAAAAAUUGUGACUCGGGCAUUAUUGUCUUGUUAUGUCAAUCAGUAAGACAAAAAAUAACUUUUGGCGCUUUUUUUUCGAUAGAUGAAAUUUUUAGAAUAUAUUGAAUUUCCUUGGUCUCUUUAGUUACCUUGAUAAGUUAAAUUUCCUUUAGAAUAAUUUUUUGGAGAAUACAAAACCAGGGCAAAAUUUCUACUCUUGCCCUCAUAUCAAAAAUUCAAAUUGAUAGAAAGUGUAUGAAUAUCGUUUAAGGUAUUUUAUAUAUUUUUAAGUAAUAUGUUUAUAGGUGCGAAUAGUCUGAGCUAGGAUAAACAUUUUAUCCUCUUGAUGAAUUCUCUCGGUGAAUUAACCUUCCUUUUUUUUCCAAGGCUAUCAUUUUUUAGUUUUCGAACCAAUCGAACUUGUGAUCUUUUUCAACCUGAAUGUUCUCUUGUAAUAGUUUUACUCUGGAAACUUAUCGUAAUUAGUACGAUAUGAUGUGUAACAUUUUUACAACAUUACAUGAAGUCAAUAAAUUUAAAUUUACCGAUCCUACUCAAGGUUUGAAGUUUGUCUAUUCUCAUUCCAUGAGGUGAUUAUUUUGACCAUCAAUCCCAGUCCAAUGAAAAGUCACUCUAAAUAAAAACGCAACUGUUCUGACUGUUACAAGCUUCGUAGAGUUAAAGCAGAAAUGGUGGCCAUUCAGAAAUCCUUAAUGUAUUGAUGCUGUGUAAGCAGCAGCAAUUGAAAACUAGGUAUACGUAGCAAAUAUUCAAAUUCUUUACAAUAAAUAAGUGUAAUGUUUUCUUGGAGGGUCUUGCUCCCAGCUAUCUACUCUUUUGCAGGUUUAAGCACUGUCUCUAUGUUGUUAGGGAAUGUCAUUUGUUCAAUUGGAUGAUGCACAUAAUAACCUUAAAAUUCACCACCUAUUUUUUUCUGUGCAUGAGUUGUCAAUCGAUUCUAUCUCUCUGGAUGAGAAGAAGAUCUUAAAGAGAACUAGCUUUGCUGCUAUCUUUCUGUAUCCAAUUUUAGGGAAACCUUCAGUAGACCUUGAUAAACAUAGAAACCCAAAAACGGCUUGGUUUUCAUUUUUAGGGGAAGGAUUCUAUGAGAACUGAUAGCUGAGAUGUAAGGUGUAGAGAUCAGGUGUAAUGGAUCUAUCCUGUACCUAGCAUUGAGGUACAAUUUCAGUUGCUUAAUGUUUGAUAUUUUGAUGUUAGUUCACUUCAGAGAUUCGUCCAAGGACUAGAGCAGUGAAGAAUACUGUUGGGGGCCAGAGAGAGAGAGCCUUUGGCUAUGGCCUCUCAGUUUUAGGGACACUUUUCAAUGUCAAUUGUUUAUCUUUCACUUGACUUGCACACACUCAAGUUCCACCUCAACCCAAUUGUUACCUGCCAGGGGCUCAUUUAUGAGAAAAUACCGAUUAAUUUAGUCUGAUAACUUUAUCCUAUCAAUAAAUUAAUAAUAAAAGAGAAAGGCCUGGAGACAGGAAAUGUGUGAUGAAUAUGAUCCAUGUCACUAGUCAUGAAUCUUGCUGCUGUCUUGUGAGAAAAAAUUUCAGGCAUUAAAGGAAAGGAACAGAUAAAUUUUUGCCUUGAAAAGUUAUGAUCAGCAAUGAAGAUGCGGAUAAGUUAAUUAAGAUGAAUGAGAUAAAGGGAGAUAGACAAUCAAAAUGUUAAUGUUUUUCUCUUGCGCCUCCAAUUCGACCAAAAUUUUUAAAGUGGAGCACUAUGCCUGUAGGAGAGUUAACAAUGUAUUACUGCAUAGGUUAAAGUGCUUAUUAAAAACGAGAAUAUGUACAAGUCACAAUAAAAUUGAACAUGGUCAUGUAUUAAAAAUAUGUACAGAGAAAUAUAAAUACUAUGAUAACUAAGUAUAAUAAUUGACUAGUUUUGGAAGCCUACAUCUGAAAAUCAUUUCCAGAUUAAAAAAAUUGGAGCUCCACCAGUCAAAACUUUCACUCCUUGAAGGGUU
rnacentral:lncRNA from 1 species